GCUUGUCUCAAAGAUUAAGCCAUGCAUGUCUAAGUGUAAAUACGUCUACACUGUGAAACUGCGAAUGGCUCAUUAAAUCAGUUAUCGUUUAUUUGAUGAUCUCUUGUUACAUGGAUAACCGUGGUAAUUCUAGAGCUAAUACAUGCUGGCGUGCCCGACUUUUGUGGAAGGGCGGUAUUUAUUAGAUAACAAGCCAAUAUUCCUCACGGUCUAUUGUGGUGACUCAUAAUAACUGAUCGAAUCGCAAGGCCCUUGGCCGCGAUAAGUCAUUCAAGUUUCUGCCCCAUCAGCUUUCGAUGGUAGUGUAUUGGACUACCAUGGCGUUCACGGGUAACGGAGAAUUAGGGUUCGAUUCCGGAGAGGGAGCCUGAGAAACGGCUACCACAUCUAAGGAAGGCAGCAGG
rnacentral:rRNA from 1 species